rnacentral:lncRNA from 1 species
GCUAAGGUCAGAGGAGAGCAGUGGUUGCUGGGCUAAGGUCAGAGGAGAGCAGUGGCCGCUGGGCUAAGAUCACAGAGGAGAGCAGUGGCCGCUGGGCUAAGAUCACAGAGGAGAGCAGUGGCCGCUGGGCCAAGAUCAGAGGAGAGCAGUGGCUGCUGGGCUAAGGUCACAGAGGAGAGCAGUGGCCGCUGGGCUAAGGUCAGAGGAGAGCAGUGGCCGCUGGGCUAAGAUCAGAGGAGAGCAGUGGCUGCUGGGCUAAGGUCACAGAGGAGAGCAGUGGCCGUUGGGCUAAGAUCAGAGGAGAGCAGUGGCUGCUGGGCUAAGCUCAGAGGAGAGCAGUGGGACCAGAAGCUGUUGAACCAGCAGUCAGCGGCCUGA